CAAGUCUUUUGUCCCAUUUGUUUUACUUUUUCUUCCAAUUUCAAGAAAGUGGCGUCAGCCACUUCCCUUUUCCCCUUUUUUUUUUUGCUUGUUGGCUUUUCUUCUUCUGUUUCUUCUUGGCUGCUGCUUCCUUUUUUUGUUUUUUUUUUCUUCUUUGCUUUUGGUUUGCUGCGCAUCCAUAAGUUGUCAACAGGAACGUGGCUAUCCUUUUUCUUUUAAAGACCUCCAUCCUUCCUUCUUCCUUCCGUGGUUUUGAUUGUUCGCAAACAAUCCCCAGAUGAAGAAUUCAAAGAAUAGGCUGCAUAAACGUGGCCUCCCUUUUCAAGCUUUGUUCCUCUUUUUUUUGUGCACACAGCUGAUUUUUAUUUGCUGUGAGGUUAAAUCCCUCCAUGAUUAUGUUUGUGGGUUUUGUACCCAAAUUGGAUUUGUGCUCUUGAGAGAGGCUGUGACAGAAAAACAUGGCCUCUAUUUUCUCUCCCUUUUUUUUUACAGAUCUCCAUUUUUUUCUCUGCCUAUUCUUUUCUUCAUGACUAACAUCCUUUACAUUUUUUUUGAUGUAGUUUGCUCAGAGAGAAAAAUAAAGGCCUUCUUAAGCAGAGAGGGAGAGGAGCGGUGAGAGAGCCCAAGAGGUUUGUGAUUGGGAUUCUCUGACAUAUCUGUUCAUCAAUCUGCUGAUGCAAGAUGCAUGAAGCUGCUAUGGCUGCUGUUGAAGAGAAACUAACGUCACUUGCGAGUUGGGGUUCAUCUCCAUGCAUAAUCAAAGAAACUCACUUUAAGCAAGCACUGGCUAAAAUCACACCCUCUCUAAGCGACAAGGAUUUGCGAGACUAUGGGAAUUUCCGAAAGCAGCAGGGCAAAUGGACUUCAAAAAGGAAAGCAAGAAAAGGAGAACAUGUUUGUCAAGAAUGUCCUUACCGAUUUUUCAUUUAUUUUUAUUUAACUAGCUUUAUUUUAAGGUAUUUAUUUUUUUAAUCAAUGUAAUCUUCCCUUCAAACUCAAUUUUGAUAUUCGGAAAUCGAAGGAUCAUCGUUGCAAUUCUCUUUUUGCUUUGAGGAAAUAAAUAAAUAAUAAUAAAAAGCGAGCUACAUUUGGGCCCUCUA